UACGUAGGUGGCAAGCGUUGUCCGGAAUUAUUGGGCGUAAAGCGCGCGCAGGCGGCCCUUUAAGUCUGCUGUGAAAGCCGGCGGCUCAACCGUGGAGGGUCAUUGGAAACUGGAGGACUUGAGUGCAGAAGAGGAAAGUGGAAUUCCAUGUGUAGCGGUGAAAUGCGUAGAGAUGGGGAGGAACACCAGUGGCGAAGGCGACUUUCUGGUCUGUAACUGACGCUGAGGCGCGAAAGCGUGGGGAGCAAGCAGG
rnacentral:misc_RNA from 1 species